UACGUAGGGUGCGAGCGUUGUCCGGAAUUAUUGGGCGUAAAGGGCUCGUAGGCGGUUUGUCGCGUCGGGAGUGAAAUCCACUGGCUUAACUGGUGGCUUGCUUUCGAUACGGGCAGACUGGAGGUAUGCAGGGGGAGAACGGAAUUCCUGGUGUAGCGGUGAAAUGCGCAGAUAUCAGGAGGAACACCGGUGGCGAAGGCGGGCUACUGGGCCGAUACUGACGCUGAUGCGCGAAAGCCAGGGGAGCAAACGGG
rnacentral:rRNA from 1 species